UACGGGGGGAGCAAGCGUUGUUCGGAUUUACUGGGCGUAAAGAGCGUGUAGGCGGCCCGGUAAGUCCGCUGUGAAAGUCCAGGGCUCAACCCUGGGAUGCCGGUGGAUACUGUCGGGCUCGAGUCCGGAAGAGGAGUGUGGAAUUCCUGGUGUAGCGGUGAAAUGCGCAGAUAUCAGGAGGAACACCAAUGGCGAAGGCAGCACUCUGGGACGUGACUGACGCUGAGACGCGAAAGCGUGGGGAGCAAACGGG
rnacentral:rRNA from 1 species